rnacentral:rRNA from 1 species
UACGAAGGGGGCUAGCGUUGCUCGGAAUCACUGGGCGUAAAGGGUGCGUAGGCGGGUCUUUAAGUCAGGGGUGAAAUCCUGGAGCUCAACUCCAGAACUGCCUUUGAUACUGAAGAUCUUGAGUUCGGGAGAGGUGAGUGGAACUGCGAGUGUAGAGGUGAAAUUCGUAGAUAUUCGCAAGAACACCAGUGGCGAAGGCGCUCACUGGCCCGAUACUGACGCUGAGGCACGAAAGCGUGGGGAGCAAACAGG